rnacentral:rRNA from 1 species
AGCGAACGCUGGCGGCGUGCCUAACACAUGCAAGUCGAACGUGAAAAGGGAAACCUGAGUAAAGUGGCGUUCGGGUGAGUAACGCGUAGGUAAUCUACCCCAGAAUCUGGAAUAACCUGCCGAAAGGCGGGCUAAUACUGGAUAGAGCGAGGGAACUCGUAAGAGAGUUUUUCGGGAAAGGGAGCCCGCAAGGGCCUUCGUUCUGGGAUGAGCCUGCGUCUCAUUAGCUAGUUGGUAAGGUAACGGCUUACCAAGGCGAUGAUGAGUAGCUGGUCUGAGAGGAUGAUCAGCCACACUGGAACUGAAACACGGUCCAGACUCCUACGGGAGGCAGCAGUGGGGAAUCUUGCGCAAUGGACGAAAGUCUGACGCAGCCACGCCGCGUGAGUGAAGAAGGCCGUCGGGUUGUAAAGCUCUGUCGGAUGGGACGAACAUCUUCAUAGUGAAUAGCUAUGAGGACUGACGGUACCAUCAAAGGAAGCACCGGCUAACUCCGUG